UCAGAAGACUUGAGUACAGAAAUAGAUUUAUGAAUUGAAAAGAGUGAGCUUGGUGUUGGUUGCUCCAUUGGAGGAAUUAUAAUUCUUCUACUGAAUUAGAAUUCAUUCUACUGAAUGGAAGAGGAAGGCAUAGAUAAGAGAAAAAGAAAUCUUUUAAAUCUCAGAGUUAAAUAAUGUUAGACACUUAUGACACUUAUAUUUGAUUUGUAUGAAAUAUUCUGCUCCACAAUUUAAUAAUCAAAACUUCCGAUAUUCUUAAAGCCAACAAAGAUCAAAAUUCUGAUUUUAUUAUUUUCCCUUAAAUUCAUUUUCUAUUCCCAUAAUAUAUUGUUGGGGAGAUUCUGUGUAGAAAGUUAUUGCUCUGCUGUGAAUGUGUCUCCAAAGUUCAAGCGUUGGAAACUCAACCGCAAUGCAUCAAUGUUGAGCUGUGGGUCUGCUAAGUUGCGAUAGGAUCAAUGCCAUGGUUUGGAUGUGGAGUGAGUUUGUCCACCACAGGUCCAUGUGUUGGAAUCUUGGUGUCCAGUGUGGCUCUGUUAAGAGAUGGGGCCUAACGGGAGGUCCUUCAGUCACUGGGCAUGUGCCCUCAAAGGGGAUUAAGGCAGUUCUCCGGAGACCCCUGAGUUACUUCUUGCAAGAGGGUUGCUGUAAUGGAGUAAGCCUGGCCUCUCCCAAUCUGUGGCUUCCUGGCUGGCAAUGUAGUCUCUCCCUCUUGUACCUGCUCCCACCACUGUGACACCAUUCAUCCUAAGGUCUUCACUGGUGCGGAGCUGAUACCACACCCUGCCCUUGAACCUCCAGGACUGUGAGCUAAACAGAGCUCUUUUCUUUAUGUAGUUGCCUGUUCUCAAGUAUUUCAUUAUGGUAAUGCAGAAUUGACUAACAGCUCAUGAGUGGAUUAGUGUUCUUAUUGCAGGAGUGAUUCCCUCGUUGCCAGAGUGGAUUUCUUAUAUGAGUGAGUUUGGCCUUCCCUGGAUUGCUUUGGCUAUAUGAUACCUUUCACUGCAGUAAUAAUGCCCCAAAUCUUUCUUCAUUUUUUUUAAAAAAUGUGUUUAUUUAUUUAUUUGAAAGGCAGACUUACAGAAAGGCAGAGGAAGAGGCAGAGAGAGAUUUUUCCAUCCACUAGUUCACUCCCCAGUUGGCUGCAAAGGCCGGAGCUGUGCUGAUCCAAAGCCAGGAGCCAGGAGCUUCUUCCAGGUCUCCCAUAUGGGUGCAGGGGCCCAAGCAUUUGAGCCAUCUUCUACUGCUUUUCCAGGCCACAACAGAGAGCUGGAUUAGAAGUGGAGCAGCCGGGACUUGAACUGGUGCCCAUAUGGUAUGCCGGCACUGCAGGUGGUGGUUUUACCCACUACACCACAGCACCAGCCCCCUGAAUCUUUCACUUUCCAGCCUCUGGUACUGUGAGCCAAAGAAACUUCUCUUUCUUGCAAAUUAUACAGCCUGUUAAUAAUCUGUUAAAAUAAUACAGAAUGGACUAGGACAGUUACCUAACAAUUAAAAAAAGAGAACUGUAUAGAGAUGAUAAAAGAAUACCCUAACAUACAGGGGUAUGGGAUCAAUUCAUAUGGGUCCUGGGCCCUUGUGGACAUUCUAAGUUGAGAGCUGGAGAGGCCUACAUAGAACCUCUUUCAUUGUCAAUCCCAAAUGUGAAAGCCUAACGGGAAAAGUAAAAUAUGGGCUCCUUGCAAAGCUUCCACACACAGGUGUCUGCACACGUCACGGGAUCAGGAAGUUACUUAUGUCAUGGUCAGCACAAAAUCUCUGAGGCGGAGGCUCUGGGGACAAGUUUAUAAAACCACUGGUUCUUGCAGGUAAUGGGAUAAAUGUGGCAUACAACAGAUGCGCUUCAUGCAAUUGAAUCACACACUGUUAUCAGUGUGAUUGCAUACAACCCACUUACAUACAUUUAUUUUGAUUACUUCAAUUUCCUUGGCAAUUUCAUGUUGAGUUACCCAAAAAUGUAUUCCUCCUCCAUGCCCACACUCUUCAUAAUUCUGACUUGGUAACCUUUUUAUUUUCUCUAGAAGAUGGAUAUUUCAGUAAUUGGAAAUGAGUUAAUGUGAGCCCAGAUCCCAAUCAGAUCCAAAAUUUUAAGUGCUCAUAAAAAUCCGAAACUCCGCAAUAACACUAAAUCCCCAUAAGCAGAGGAAAACAAUCCACAUUUCUGUGGCACUGAAAGUGAACUUGCAGGCAUGUCUGCCUAGAUUGUCUGUUAAGCCUCCUACUAUAUUAAUGUAGCUUUGGAAGAAAAGGGCUAAGUUAGGUUUAAAAUGUCACAUUCAAAACAUUGUGAGGAUAAGAAUUAUAAGCCCUGGGCCAAAAAUCACCAAUGAAAAGAAAUUAUACUGGUUGUGUAAACACUGUGCUCUUGAGGCAACAAGGUCACUUUUUUUUUUUUUUUUUUUGGUGCAAAAGAAAAAUCCUGUUCCAUUCAAGAGGGAUGGUGAGGCCUCUCUUGGAAGAGCUGGGAGUCACUCUGAAGAAGGGGAAGCUGCAGAUCGUGGUUGGUGGUAACAGAAACUUCAGAAGGCAAAAGCACUUCAGAAGGAUCUCUUGGUUGCAUUCCUUUUGUGGACUUAACCUUAGCAUCUCACAACCUGUCUGGUGGCUUUGCUAGAAUGGAUCAAUACAGGUGUGCAUGUUGCUACAGUGAGACAAUAUGAUGAGGCAAUUAUGAAUAGUUGAUACAGUGGGCUGCACACUGACAGUGAAUGUGGAGUUCCACAGAACACAGAUUGUAAAUUCCAUGUGAGUGAGACCUGAGCCUUUCUAAGUACUUGUAAAAUAAGAUAUCCUCAUAUACCUAUUUGUGGUCAUUUGCACCUGAAGUUAUUAUAGUCUGUGAUUCCAAUAAUGUUUGAUUCAGUUAAACCACUUGACAAAGGUAAAACUAAUGGAGAGGUUAAUAGAAGAAUGUAGAAUUUAGAUGGGUAAAUGCCAGUGGGUGAAUGCAGAUAUAAAGAGAAUACAGAAAAUAUUAUCGAAGUGUGAAAUCUUUGAGUCUCAAGGGUAUGUUGAAAUUUUCUAGGGAGUUUUCUGUUCUUAACAUAGAAUAGUUUGUUCUGUACCCACUUCUUUUGGUUCUUGUCUCUUAUAAAUCAUUAGUUACUUAUCUAUGGAUGCAAAUGGCUGUGUGUGUCCUGCGUGCAAACAUGCCAGAUGCCAGGCACCAGGGCUUGCACCUGCACUUCUGACUUUUCAGAUGAAGGGGAGUGAGGGGUGUGCAGAACAGAUGAACCCCACUGGCUGUCAGCUGGAAGACAGACAAGGGGAACCCUGGCUCUGGGAUGGAGACAUCCCCACAGACCUGACCAAUAUCCAUGCAAUCACAUUUUGGGCUAGGAUGGUGGUGGGAAGGUGCCUCCCAAGUCUGCAUUUGGGGCAGUCCGUGGCACAUGGCUGCUUUGCACCUGGAGCUAUAGCCACUGCUCUGUGCAGGUGCUGUUAGCAGUCACAUGCAAGUACUCCAUCUUUCCUCCUUUUUCUGAAAAGAUAAAUAUUUCCCCCAAAUUUAAAUUACUUUUCUCUUUGGUGAUCUACUUGUAUUUAUGCUAUCAUAUUUCCCCUUCAGCAGUGGGCUGGAUGCUGCUGAUUCGAGGGAAGGAUUCUCUUGGCUGGUUGUCCUGCUCAGAAGGGUUAGGACCCCGGGUAGUGGUGCUGCUGACAGAAUCCCCUCCAACCUUGACCUGUAAGAACCACUGCUCUGCCGGGGAGGCACUGUCAUUCAUACUUUAUGAUCCCAGGCCUC